rnacentral:rRNA from 1 species
ACUCCUACGGGAGGCAGCAGUAGGGAAUCUUCCACAAUGGACGCAAGUCUGAUGGAGCAACGCCGCGUGAGUGAAGAAGGCUUUCGGGUCGUAAAACUCUGUUGUUAGAGAAGAACGUGUGUGAGAGUAACUGUUCAUGCAGUGACGGUAUCUAACCAGAAAGCCACGGCUAACUACGUGCCAGCAGCCGCGGUAAU